AGAACGAACGCUGGCGGCAUGCCUAACACAUGCAAGUCGAACGAGACCUUCGGGUCUAGUGGCGCACGGGUGCGUAACGCGUGGGAAUCUGCCCUUGGGUUCGGAAUAACAGUUAGAAAUGACUGCUAAUACCGGAUGAUGACGAAAGUCCAAAGAUUUAUCGCCCAGGGAUGAGCCCGCGUAGGAUUAGCUAGUUGGUGAGGUAAAGGCUCACCAAGGCGACGAUCCUUAGCUGGUCUGAGAGGAUGAUCAGCCACACGUGGGACUGGAGA
rnacentral:rRNA from 1 species